UACGGAGGAUGCGAGCGUUAUCCGGAUUUAUUGGGUUUAAAGGGUGCGCAGGCGGUCUGUUAAGUCAGCGGUCAAAGCCCGGGGCUCAACCCCGGCCCGCCGUUGAAACUGGCAGUCUCGAGUUGGAGAGAAGUAUGCGGAAUGCGCGGUGUAGCGGUGAAAUGCAUAGAUAUCGCGCAGAACUCCGAUUGCGAAGGCAGCAUGCCGGCUCCACACUGACGCUCAGGCACGAAAGCGUGGGUAUCGAACAGG
rnacentral:rRNA from 1 species